GUGGGGAAUAUUGGACAAUGGGCGAAAGCCUGAUCCAGCCAUGCCGCGUGUGUGAAGAAGGUCUUCGGAUUGUAAAGCACUUUAAGUUGGGAGGAAGGGCAGUAAGUUAAUACCUUGCUGUUUUGACGUUACCGACAGAAUAAGCACCGGCUAACUUCGUGCCAGCAGCCGCGGUAAUACGAAGGGUGCAAGCGUUAAUCGGAAUUACUGGGCUUAAAGCGCGCGUAGGUGGUUUUGUAAGUUGGAGGUGAAAUCCCCGGGCUCAACCUGGGAACUGCCUCCAAAACUGCAUGACUAGAGUACGGUAGAGGGUAGUGGAAUUUCCUGUGUAGCGGUGAAAUGCGUAGAUAUAGGAAGGAACACCAGUGGCGAAGGCGACUACCUGGACUGAUACUGACACUGAGGUGCGAAAGCGUGGGGAGCAAACAGGAUUAGAUACCCGGGUAGUCC
rnacentral:rRNA from 1 species